rnacentral:sRNA from 1 species
ACCCUCCUGAAGAAGGAUACCUUGACUUUCACAUUUGUACAAGCUGCACACUCAGUGGAAGAGGAAGACCUUCCCUCAUAGCAGAGGACAGUUCUUUAGCGAAGGGUAUAUGAGUAGCUGUGCUCCCCUGCACAUUUCAAACAAGCUCCCAUUUGCGCUGUUAGAAGUUAGU